AUGAGUGGUGUGAAUGGGGUGUGAUUCUGUUUACUUUUGUCUUUCUCCAGGAUCUACAGCAGCUGCCACUGCUCAUUCUUGCUUUCAGGUGGAACUCAACAAAGGCAUCACAGCUCUAGCCAAUGCCUUUUUCCAGUGUUCCUGGGGAGCAGUAGAGAAGGAUCCUGCAGAAGAUAAACGAUCUACUUGCUUUGACUCCCAGACAAUAUUUGAAGAACUUCUGAGCAUCCGAAUGUCGCCAGAUCCCCAGUUCCUUGAGAAAUCCCAACAUGAAAGGUUGCAAAAUUACCAACAUUUUCAGCUUCAGACGGAGAUUCAGGAUAUGAUGGAAAGUUCAAGGAGAAAAGGAGCAAUGAAGUGGAGUGGUGAGGGGGAUAAGAGAAAUGCAGAUUCCUCUGGCAUUCAGGUUGCAAAGCUAGAGAAGAUGCUGGAUGGUCUGAAUGAGGAGUUCUUCCAGCUCACAGUGCAGGCCUUGACAAUACAGAAGGAGGAGGAACUACUGGACCAGAAGCUCAGAAUCCGGGAGGAAUCAUUUGCGACGCUGGGCAGGAUUCAUGAGGAGGAAGCACAACACUUCACAGAGCAGCUGGAAUCCUGGGCUGCAAAGAGAGACCAGGCCCAGUUGCUGGAAAUUAAGAAGAGCUGUGUUGCUCAGAGAAUUAAAGACACAGAAUCUGAGCUCUUUCAUCUUCUGCAAACCACAGCAGAUACCAGCUCAUCUCCUGAAGGAGUCCAGCAAUCCUUUCGUACCAGCUAAAAGCAUCCAACUGAUGAUGUUCCAUCAUUGCUGUGUUGAACAGACCUGUGAAAACAUAGGCACCUAUUUUCCAUGGGACAUUCAUACAUGUAGAUACACACAGUGACAUGCUGNACAGACCUGUGAAAACAUAGGCACCUAUUUUCCAUGGGACAUUCAUACAUGUACAUAUAUGAGGCUACACAACCUUCAACCCACACAUAAGCAUCAUGUGGGUUAUAUGGGCACAUACUGGCGAUAAAUAUAUGCACAGAAACAAAGACACUAAUGGAUACAGUUUGAUACAAAUACAUAUGUUCAUGAACAUAGGUGUUCACAUGUACACUGAUAGAAGCAUGCUGUAGUUCCUACAUAUAUAUACUCUUUACAGCUGUGAAGGCGUAGACUCAAAUGUAUUCCUACUCACUGUUAAUCAUCUAUAAUUGUGCAGUGUUGAAAAUAUCAAUGUUCUUAACUUAUAUCGGUGUUCUGAAUGUACCACUCUCAAUCAAUAAGACAAAAAGAGAGUAGGAAAUUAGACUCCUCACAUACAUUGUAGGAAAUCCCUGCCCCUCAGCAAAAUAAAUUAUGUGCAUCUCAUGCA
ensembl:lncRNA